rnacentral:lncRNA from 1 species
UGCGCGAGACCCUGUCUUGUCACCUUGCGUCUGUGGCAGCCAUGUCAACUUGCGUGUCUGUGCGCGUCUGAAGUAAAAUUUGGCCUUAUUUUGUAACCUGCUAGUCCUGGCCUCGCCCUAUCCGUUUCCCAGGCCCUGGAGGCGGAGAGAAAGAGAAAGCAUGUCUGCUUUGGAGCCGGGGACGAGAAUCUCCACGUCGCUGUUGCUGCGCAGGUCCCUGGAUUUCUGCACGCUGGGGGAUAUGGAGAAAGCAAGAAGAGCUACCAGGAUACAGAAAAAUAUGACACAGGUAAGCAAAAGGUACUAAUUCUCCAAAGGAUACAUCCCUUCCAUUAGUUGCCUUCCUAGUUAACA